GUAAAAUCUAAAAUUUCAUUUUAUACAGUGAUGCAAGAAGAAGAGGUGGACAGACAGGUGCAUGAUGAAAAUAGUUCAAAUGAUUCCUCUGAUACCAUUAAUUAUGACUGGGUACCUGAAGAUCAAAACAUAUUGAUUAACAAGAAACAGUUAUUGGAGAUAUUAAAGAAAGCUGAAAAAGGACUGAAAGAAAACUAUUCAAGUUUGCAUGACAUGCGCCUUAAAAUAGAAAAAAUGUAACAAUACAAUUUGAUUUAUCAUAAUGUGACCAAAUUUUAUUUUUAUUUUUGUGAUAAAAAAUAAAUAUUUAUGUUUAACCGUG